UACAGAGGGUGCAAGCGUUGCUCGGAAUCAUUGGGCGUAAAGGGCAAGUAGGUGGUCUCAUUUGUCUAGGGUGAAAUCCUUGAGCUUAACUCAAGAAGUGCCCUAGAAACGGUGAGACUCGAGUUCUGGAGAGGGUCGUGGAAUUCCCGGUGUAGCGGUGAAACGCGUAGAGAUCCGGAGGAACCCCAGAGGCGAAGGCGGCGCCCUGGCUCGCAACUGACGCUCAGACACGACAGCAUGGGGAGCGAACGGG
rnacentral:rRNA from 1 species